rnacentral:rRNA from 1 species
AUGCCCAAUGGGGCACAAGCCUCGGCUGAGGAAGGCGAGGCGAGCGGGGGCGAGAGCCAGGAAGAGGAGGAGUGGGACUCGGAUGCCGCAGGGGGUGAUGACGACGAUGAUGAUGAUGAAGAUGAUGAAGAUGACAUCGAGGACGAGGAAGAAGAGGAAGAGGAGGAGGUCAUUCCACCGCGCUCAGAAAGGCGGUCGAAGCUUGUCCACGACCCUUCGACCGAACGUGGCAAGGGGGUUGCGACCGCCACCCAGUCGACCAAGCGCCCCCGGACCACCUCUCCAGCGCCGACUGAAAAGGCGCCGAAGCAGCCCAGGGCGGCCUCAUCGAAGCCGACCAAGCUCCUGCCGAAGAUGAAGGUGUCCAUCCCCACCAUUUCAGGCGCUGCUACCUCUGAGACUUCGGCCCGGGCCGAAGACCACGAGAUGGAGGAUGCGGCAACUUCGAACCCAGGUACUAUAUUCUUAACACCGUUGUUAGUCGACUGA